UACAGAGGUCUCAAGCGUUGUUCGGAUUCAUUGGGCGUAAAGGGUGUGUAGGUGGCGCGCUAAGUCGGGUGUGAAAUUUCGGAGCUUAACUCCGAAACUGCAUUCGAUACUGGCGUGCUUGAGGACUGGAGAGGAGACUGGAAUUCAUGGUGUAGCAGUGAAAUGCGUAGAGAUCAUGAGGAAGACCAGUGGCGAAGGCGGGUCUCUGGGCAGUAACUGACGCUGAGGAGCGAAAGCGUGGGGAGCGAACAGG
rnacentral:rRNA from 1 species